rnacentral:lncRNA from 1 species
AAUGAAUCCAUAAAUCAGUGCACUGCUGAAAGGUGGCAGAAACUUUAGGAGCUGGGACCUAUUUAGAGGAAGUAAGUCACUGCAGGCAUGCUUUUGAAGGUUCCAUUUGACAAUAUCCACUCUCUCUUUCUCUCUUUGCUUUCUGGCCACCAUGAGCUACAUAGCUUUCCUGUGUCAUGUACUUUUAUCAUGAGACAAUGCCAUAGGCCUAAAAGUAACAGGGCCAAGAGACCACAGAAAAAAAAAAACUUAUAAAAUCAUGAGACAAAAUAAGUCUUUCCUCCUUUAAGUUGAUUUUCUCAAGUGUUUUGUGACAACAACAAAUAUAGACAUUGGGUACCAGGAGUGGAUUGAUUGAUGUGACUAUACAUUACCAUGUGGUUCAAAAGUCUUCGAUAUUGAUUUUGGGGAGAAAUUUGGAAACUUUUGGAGAAACAGGCUAGUAAAAGCUCAGAAUAUUAUAAGAUUAAGGUGUUUCUGGGGAGAGUUCAGAAGACUAGAAUGUUGAUAGUAAUGCAGAGAGUAAAGACUGUGCUGUGGGAUGUUUUCAAGAUGGCAGAAUAGAGAAGGUCACUUUCCUGACUGCUCCAUGGCAUGAAAACAAGAAAGCUGAUAAGGGACUUCUCAGCAAAGUGGGUGAGCAAAAGAAAGGGGGAGGGAUUUUACUGGAAUUUAAUACUGGUCUUUCAAAGCAGAUCUGGGACAUAAGAGGAUGGAUAUAAUUAAAUAAGGAAGAAAUCCCCAGGGCCACAGCUGCUGUCAUGGCUGGAGGGAACAGUAAGAGUGGUCCCUCUGUAGGCAAAGUGGAGAAAUAAGGGAAUUAAAGGAACUCACAUUUUUAGGAGGCCUGAGGCAUAACUGAGUACAGAGAGUUUAGAGAUCAAAGACACUGCCCAACUAAAC